GUGCUUGCUUUGGCGGCACUUGUACUAAAAUUGGAACGAUGCAGGGAAGAUUAGCAUGGCCCCUGGGCAAGAUGACACACAAAUUUGUGAAGCAUUCUGUAUUUUU
rnacentral:snRNA from 1 species